UGAGAGGAUGACCAGUCACAAAUGGAACUGAGACACGGUCCAGACUCCUACGGGAGGCAGCAGUGAGGAAUAUUGGACAAGGGAGGCAAACUUUGAUCCAGCCAUGCCGCGUGCAGGAAAGACGGCCCUAUGGGUUGUAAAACUGCUUUUAUACAGGAAGAAACCCAACCACGUGUGGUUGGCUGACGGUACUGUAUGAAUAAGCACCGGCUAACUCCGUGCCAGCAGCCGCGGUAAUACGGAGGGUGCAAGCGUUAUCCGGAAUCAUUGGGUUUAAAGGGUCCGUAGGCGGGUAAUUAAGUCAGAGGUGAAUCCCACAGCUUAACUGUGGAACUGCCUUAGAUACUGGUUAUCUUGAGUUUUAGUGAAGUAGAUAGAAUGUGUAGUGUAGCGGUGAAAUGCAUAGAUAUUACAGGAGUACCGAUUGCGAAGGCAUCUACUAACUAACAACUGACGCUAAGGACGAAAGCGUGAGAGCGAACGGGAUUAGAUACCCUGGUAGUCCA
rnacentral:rRNA from 1 species